rnacentral:rRNA from 1 species
CGCCUGUUUAUCAAAAACAUAGCCAUAUGGUGAUUUAUAUGGUGACUUCUGCUCAAUGACAAGUUUAAAUGGCCGCAGUACUCUGACUGUGCAAAGGUAGCAUAAUCAUUUGGCUUAUAAUUGAAGUCUGGAAUGAAUGAAUGAAUGGCUGGUGACUGUCUUAUCAAGGUAUCCUGAAUUUACUUAAUAAGUGAAAAUUCUUAUAUAAUUAUAAAAGACGAGAAGACCCUUGAAAUUUUUACAACUAUAGGAAUGGUAUAACGUUUUUGUUGGGGCGACAGAGCAACAGUAAACUUGCUUAUUAGAUUUGGACUAACUAAUGCGAAAAACUAAAUUACUCUAGGGAUAACAGCAUAAUUUGUGAAAGUUUGUGACCUCGAUGUUGGAUUAAGGUACAUGUUGUCCAGAAGGCAACAUGGCAAGUUCUGUUCGAACUAAUUUCCUUACGUGAUCUGAGUUCAGACCGG